rnacentral:tmRNA from 2 species
GGGGGCGAUUGGUCUCGACGGGAUGUUAGAGACAAAACCUGCAAGCCGAGGUACCCAGUGUCCUCGUAAAUCAAUUGGGACUAAAUUUAGGUGCAAACAACAACUUUGCACUGGCUGCUUAAUUAAAAGCUAGCCCGUCUGUUUAAGAUUUGUCGGCUGGUCUUAAAUCAGGCGUCGACUAAAACCGAAUAGUUUAGAUUGAUGCUUGGGCAGUUUAAGCGAAAACUUACUAAGCUGGUGUUCCGGCGCCGGUCAGUUGGCUAACCGGAAUACGAGAACUAAAACCUGACUAAGCUUGUAGCAUGGUUUUGAGCUUUACUCUUCGGACGUGGGUUCAAUUCCCACCGCCUCCAUUU